rnacentral:tRNA from 1 species
AGCCCACGCAGUGAUGCACGCCAAAAUGCAAAUUUGGAGACGCACAAGAAGGUGCCGGGGCUU